rnacentral:rRNA from 1 species
UGGGGAAUAUUGGGCAAUGGGGGCAACCCUGACCCAGCGACGCCGCGUGAGGGAAGAAGGCCUUAGGGUCGUAAACCUCUGUUGUGUGGGAAGAAGGAAGUGACGGUACCACACGAGGAAGUCCCGGCUAACUACGUGCCAGCAGCCGCGGUAAUACGUAGGGGACGAGCGUUGUCCGGAAUUACUGGGCGUAAAGGGCGCGUAGGCGGUCAUUUAAGUCAGCUGUGAAAUGGUCCGGCUCAACCGGAUCAUGCGGUUGAAACUGGAUGACUGGAGUGCUGGAGAGGCAAGUGGAAUUCCCAGUGUAGCGGUGAAAUGCGUAGAUAUUGGGAAGAACACCGGCGGCGAAGGCGACUUGCUGGCCAGCGACUGACGCUGAGGCGCGAAGGCCAGGGGAGCAAACGG